rnacentral:lncRNA from 1 species
CCCUGCCUGGUUCAGGAACUGCAUUGGGAAACAAUUUGUCAUGAAUGAGCUGAAAAUAGCCGUGGCCCUGACUCUACUUCAUUUUGAGCUACUGCCAAAUCCCAUCAGGAUUCCUGUACCCAUGGCACUCGCUGUGAUGAAGUCCAAGAAUGGAAUCCACCUGCAUCUCAGGAAGCUCCAAUAAUUCUGGUGGAAGAGAGGACAUGUCUGCGGGCCAGCUGCUUGACAUUUUGUGUUUCUGUCACCUGUUCUAGUAUACCUUCCAUUACCCCAAAACUGCUUUCAAUCUUUCCACCUGCCCUCCUUCCCACCUGCCUGCUCUAAGAAG